rnacentral:tRNA from 1 species
GGAGAGAUGGCCGAGUGGCUGAAGGCGCACGCUUGGAAAGCGUGUAUACGUGAAAGCGUAUCCAGGGUUCGAAUCCCUGUCUCUCCGCCA